rnacentral:tRNA from 1 species
GGAGAGGUGCCGGAGCUGGCCGAACGGGCUUGACUCGAAAUCAAGUGACCCCCUUGCGGGGGUCCGUGGGUUCGAAUCCCACCCUCUCCGCCA